ensembl:lncRNA
CGAGUGCCACAAUAACUUCAGAUACACUCCUUCAUGAGUCCAAAGAUCAGUUCUCUCCACCUGAAUUGAUUUGUGAACAUUCACAAUGCCAGGUAUCCCAAGUGGGCGGCUCAACUGAAACAAGCCUCUUCAAUGUGGUCAACGAGCUGGAAUCUAAAGAGUUGCCUCUUGUUGAUCAGACCACUUCAGUGACUGCAGUUGACACAGUGGAGGUCAUAUCAGAAAAUAACGAUCAAAACAAUGAUUCAGAACCAUUGAAAUCUCAACAGAUUGAAAUGGGUGUUUCUACUGAAGAAGCCAAGAUCACAAACCCAGAACAAGAUCCUUCUUCUCCUGGGUCUACAACAGCAAAUGACCAAUCAGAUGUUGACCAGAAGAGCAUUCCAGUGGUAGAUGCUUCAAACGAUCCUGGAAAUAGAAGAUAUCAGUCGUCCUUUGCAUGGGACACAUUUAUGAAAGGGAAAAAGAUGCCACAUACAACACCGUUAAGAACUGAGCUGUGGUCCUCUGGAUUUCAUGAGCUUGUUUCUCCAUUUUGUGCUCCCAUAUUUAUGAAGAAUAAAUUGCCAAAAACAGCCAUAAUGAAGACUCCUGACAGACUGGAAACCCCAAGCAAGCGUCAAGGAGAGUGGAAUGCUAUCAAGCAGUCUUUUUCUGAAAUGUUAACAGAGAAAGAGAAUCAAGUUCUUAUCUCCUACAGCUCGACUCUGAGUGGCAGUCCAACCUCUUCUUCUGUGGGUAAUGGGCUGCGACAAAACUCCACUCCUACCGUUCCUCCUCCCAAACUCCAGAGCGUGGAGAAACCGACCCGGCCUAUGGCAUCUAGUUCUGAAAGAAAAGAAGAACGAAAACAAUCUGACAUAAUGG